rnacentral:rRNA from 1 species
AACGAACGCUGGCGGCAGGCUUAACACAUGCAAGUCGAACGCAUCCUUCGGGGUGAGUGGCAGACGGGUGAGUAACGCGUGGGAACGUGCCCCUCAGUUCGGGAUAACCCAGGGAAACUUGGGCUAAUACCGGAUACGUGCGAGAGCAGAAGGAUUUAUCGCUGAAGGAUCGGCCCGCGUCUGAUUAGCUAGUUGGUGGGGUAAUGGCCCACCAAGGCGACGAUCAGUAGCUGGUCUGAGAGGAUGAUCAGCCACAUUGGGACUGAGACACGGCCCAAACUCCUACGGGAGGCAGCAGUGGGGAAUAUUGGACAAUGGGCGCAAGCCUGAUCCAGCCAUGCCGCGUGAGUGAUGAAGGCCUUAGGGUUGUAAAGCUCUUUCGUCCGGGACGAUAAUGACGGUACCGGAAGAAGAAGCCCCGGCUAACUUCGUGCCAGCAGCCGCAGUAA